rnacentral:rRNA from 1 species
UACAGAGGUCCCAAGCGUUGUUCGGAUUCAUUGGGCGUAAAGGGUGCGUAGGCGGCGCGGUAAGUCGGGUGUGAAAUCUCGGGGCUUAACUCCGAAACUGCAUUCGAUACUGCGGUGCUUGAGGACUGGAGAGGAGACUGGAAUUCAUGGUGUAGCAGUGAAAUGCGUAGAGAUCAUGAGGAAGACCAGUAGCGAAGGCGGGUCUCUGGACAGUUCCUGACACUGAGGCACGAAGGCCAGGGGAGCAAACGGG